CAGCUUAGUUUCUGGUUUACUUAAUAAAGUCCUAGCAAUAAAUAAACCUUCCUUUUGUAAUCUUUUACAAGGUUCUAACACACUCAAAUUUUUAUCUAUCAACUCAGGAGUGGGAACUUCAAGUGUUAUUUCAGACUUGGGGGGAAUAACUGUUUCACUAUUUAAUCUAACAAAAAAACAAGAGUUAUGUCCCUGUUUAUAUAGUUUAACUUUAUGACCUGACAAGACCAUUUCAGGCUUCGCAAUUAGAACUUGUGCAUCAUUUAUUUCUAAAAAAUCCAUACCAAGUAUCCCUGAAAUUUCAUGAAUCCCGGCUACUAUGAAUUCAUGUUCAAACACUUUACUUGACAUAAUAAAUUUCAAAGUUAUUUUUCCCAAAAUUUCAAUAUUGCUUCCAUCAGCAGCUGAUAGAGUUGUUUUAACUCUUUGUAACUUUGAAGGAGCAAUCCCCAUUUUAUCAAAGAUAGUUUUUGAGAGUAUACUAGCUAC
rnacentral:lncRNA from 1 species